UUCCCACCUGAGAUGAGGUUGAACCUUAUGAAAUUGCCGGCAGCCAAUCAAGUUCGAACUACCAAACGAGCGAGUCCCUUUGGAGCCUGUCCCGUGCUGCUGGUAGAGGACGGAGGUGCGGGGACCUCCUACCUCUGGCUGGGCGAACCCCUCGGGACAGAUGUGCAAGAAAGACGGCAGGACUGAUGAGUCCCGCCGGGGACAUCAGAGUGAGAACCUGAUGAGCUCCAGUUCCGACGGGUCACUGGGGACAGCAGCAGAAGUUUCUUUUUCCAGGCUCCAUCCAAGGGACGGGACUCUGUGUCUUUGACCAGGAUAGCCCUCAGUUCUUGCCGUCUCUUGGGCAACCUGUGGCCUCUCCUAGGGGACCGGAAGUGACAGCUGAGACUGGUUUUGUGACGCGCCGUCACAGGAAUCUGAGAGCAUAGAGGCUUUGAGGUUGGCGGUAAUGACCCGCCUCACGGCCUGACGGGGAGGGUGCGCGAGGUAGCGCAUGGAACAAGGUCGGCACAGAGCCGGGCGCUCAGAAGGCACGCUGCGCGGCGGCUGUGGUUGGCCUCGUUGAUUGUUCUGUAGCCUGUUAAUUCCUAAGACUGGGAUACAAAUUCGACGGUUUGCAGGGUGCCUGACGGAAUCUGUUUUUUCAGGAGUAGACGGGAAGGAGGCAUUGGGAGUUGCAGGGCACUUACCUAAGCCAGGCGCCCUGGGAAUCGCCGGACACACGCCGUCUCAGAAUCUUCUCGAACAGCUCUGGAGAACACGAUGCCCGUUUUACAGAUGCAGAGACUGAGGUCCAGGGAUGAGCUUGCUCAAGGUCGCUCAGCUGAUUUCCAUUUGCUAGAUGCGAAUAGUGAGUCUCAGAGUGGUUAAGAGGCUUCUUCUCCGAGCUUACUCAGCUGGCCACCAUCAAGUGGAACUUGAACUCUUCCCCGGUGGCCCCCCGGUGCUCAGCCGUCUUCGGGAUUUCACCUUGAACCUCUGAACCCAAAGGCUUGCCUGACAGCAGGCCGCUCUUUGGCUUCUGGCUUCCCAGUUGGGAGAGGAGGAAGCAGGGGCCCUCCCUCUGACCCACCCAGCCACCCACCCGAGGUACCAUUAAAGUUAAUUGUUUUUACUGCCAGUU